CCUACGGGGAGCAGCAGUGGGGAAUAUUGCACAAUGGGGGAAACCCUGAUGCAGCGACGCCGCGUGAGUGAAGAAGUAUUUCGGUAUGUAAAGCUCUAUCAGCAGGGAAGAAAAUGACGGUACCUGAUUAAGAAGCCCCGGCUAACUACGUGCCAGCAGCCGCGGUAAUACGUAGGGGGCAAGCGUUAUCCGGAUUUACUGGGUGUAAAGGGGGCGUAGACGGCAGCACAAGUCUGGAGGGAAAUGCCGGGGCUUAACCCCGGAACUGCUUUGGAAACUGUGCAGCUAGAGUGCAGGAGAGGUAAGUGGAAUUCCUAGUGUAGCGGUGAAAUGCGUAGAUAUUAGGAGGAACACCAGUGGCGAAGGCGGCUUACUGGACUGUAACUGACGUUGAGGCUCGAAAGCGUGGGGAGCAAACAGGAUUAGAUACCCUAGUAGUC
rnacentral:rRNA from 1 species